AACAAACGCUGGCGGCGUGCCUAACACAUGCAAGUCGAACGAGAAAGUCGGUUUCGGCCGAUGAGUAAAGUGGCGCACGGGUGAGUAACGCGUGGAUAAUCUACCCUUUAGUCCGGAAUAACUUGCCGAAAGGUGAACUAAUACCGGAUGACAUCCCGGGUUCUCCGGAAACCGGGAUCAAAGAAGGCCUCUGCUUGCAAGCUUUUGCUGAAGGAUGAGUCCGCGUACCAUUAGCUAGUUGGUGGGGUAAUGGCCUACCGAAGGUUUAUGAUGGUUAGCUGGUCUGAGAGGAUGAUCAGCCACACUGGAACUGAAACACGGUCCAGACUCCUACGGGAGGCAGCAGUGAGGAAUAUUGCGCAAUGGGGGCAACCCUGACGCAGCAACGCCGCGUGAGUGAGGAAGGUUUUCGGAUUGUAAAGCUCUGUCGAGCGGAAAGAAAUGCACGAUGGCUAAUAUCCAUCAUGCUUGACGGUACCGCUAGAGGAAGCACCGGCUAACUCCGUG
rnacentral:rRNA from 1 species